AAAAUGGGUAAACUAUUAAAGAGGUGACGGAGAAGUUCGUUGAGAGAUACAGUAACAUUAAAUUUCUGCAAGGCUAUGGCUUGACUGAGACGGCGGCUAUAGUUGCUUCUAUGUUUACUAAAGAGGAGACUGAGAGGUACGGAUCCUCUGGUUUGCUUGCUCCGAACGUGGAGGGUAAGAUUGUGGAUCCGGAUACGGGUCGGGUCUUGGGGGUGCAUCGAACCGGGGAGCUCUGGCUCCAGAGUCCUACCGUGAUGAAAUGUUCUUUCAAGAACGAGGAAGCUACUGCAUCUAUUAUUGAUUCAGAAGGAUAGUUGAAGACUGGAGAUUUGUAUUACAUUGACGGUGAAGGUUUUGUCUUUGUUGUUGAUAGAUUAAAGGAGCUUAUCAAAUGCAAUGGUUAUCAGGUUGCUCCAGCUGAGCUUGAAGCAUUGUUGCUUGCUCAUCCAGAUAUUGCUGAUGCUGCAGUAAUACCCAUCCCUGACUUGAAAGCUG